rnacentral:rRNA from 1 species
AAGAGCGACGGGCGAGGUGUAAACUAGGAUUAGAUACCCUAUUAUAAUAAUUUAAUUAAUUAUGAUUAAAGUAUUAAAUGAUAAAUCAUUAAAUUUAAAAAAUUUGGCGGUAUUUUAUAAAAUUAGAGGAACCUGUUGUGUAAUUGAUAGACCACGAUAAGAAAUACUUUAAUUAAAUUUUAUGUAUUGUUGUUUAAAAAUUUUUAUUAAGUAUAAAAUUAAUUAUUUUAUUAGAAAUUUAAUUCAAAUCAAAAUAUAGAUUAUUAAAGGAUUAAUGGGUUACAAUUAAUUAAAUUAUUAUUUAAUUAAAUUUAAUUAAAUUAAAAUAUUGGAUUUAAAAGUAAAAUUAUUAAAUUAUUUAAUUUGAAAUUUUAAUAAAAUAUGUACACAUCGC